rnacentral:rRNA from 1 species
AAGCGCUUGCAACCAGACUUGCAUGCGGUUAAUCAUCCGGGGUUCUCCCCGGUGCACUUGACCGUGUUCAGGCCAGCAUCGGUUCGGGCGGUGGGAUAAAGGCCUUGGGAAUGUAGCUUCUUUCGGGGAGUGUUAUAGCCCGUUGCAUAAUACCCUGCGGUGGACUGAGGACCGCGCAUCUGCAAGGAUGCUGGCGUAAUGGUCACCAGCGA